rnacentral:rRNA from 1 species
CGGGACGGGUGAGUAAUGCUUGGGAAUCUAGCUUAUGGAGGGGGGUAACUACGGGAAACUGUAGCUAAUACCGCGUAAUAUCGAAAGAUUAAAGUGUGGGACCUUCGGGCCACAUGCCAUAGGAUGAGCCCAAGUGGGAUUAGGUAGUUGGUGAGGUAAAGGCUCACCAAGCCGACGAUCUCUAGCUGGUCUGAGAGGAUGACCAGCCACACUGGGACUGAGACACGGCCCAG